rnacentral:rRNA from 1 species
AUUGAACGCUGGCGGCAGGCUUAACACAUGCAAGUCGAGCGAGCGGCGGACGGGUGAGUAAUGUCUGGGAAACUGCCCGAUAGAGGGGGAUAACUACUGGAAACGGUGGCUAAUACCGCAUACUAACGGAUGAACCCAUAUGGGAUUAGCUAGUAGGUGGGGUAAAGGCUCACCUAGGCGACGAUCUCUAGCUGGUCUGAGAGGAGGAUCAGCCACACUGGGACUGAUACACGGCCCAGACUCCUACGGGAGGCAGCAGUUGGGAAAAUUGCACAAUGGGCGCAAGCCUGAUGCAGCCAUGCCGCGUGUAUGAAGAAGGCCUUAGGGUUGUAAAGUACUUGCAGCGGGGAGGCGUUACCCGCAUAAGAAGCACCGGCUAACUCCGUGCCAGCCGCCGCGGUAAUUC